rnacentral:lncRNA from 1 species
UUGGUCAAUUGUUGUUUGAUCUAUUUUUCAGCUUUAAAUGCAGUAUGAUAUGUGAUGUAUUUAUUUUAUGGUUACAUAUGCAUGAAUCAUGGUUUCUUUUAUUAUGGUUUGAAUUAUGGUGAACCCGAUGUUGUGUUGUCUUGUUUGGUGUCAAUUACUGGUUUACGUGUUUGUGUAUGAUUGGAUGAUUGAGACCAAGGAAAAGGAAAAAAAAGUUAUGUGAAUUGAUAAAUGGAUAAUAUGGACAGUCUGACUAGAUAUCCUGGGAAAUGGUGGAUGGACCGGGUCC